GACGAACGCUGGCGGCGUGCUUAACACAUGCAAGUCGAACGGAAAGGCCCUGCUUUUGUGGGGUGCUCGAGUGGCGAACGGGUGAGUAACACGUGAGUAACCUGCCCUUGACUUUGGGGUAACUUCAGGAAACUGGGGCUAAUACCGGAUAGGAGCUCCUGCUGCAUGGUGGGGGUUGGAAAGUUUCGGCGGUUGGGGAUGGACUCGCGGCUUAUCAGCUUGUUGGUGGGGUAGUGGCUUACCAAGGCUUUGACGGGUAGCCGGCCUGAGAGGGUGACCGGCCACAUUGGGACUGAGAUACGGCCCAGACUCCUACGGGAGGCAGCAGUGGGGAAUAUUGCACAAUGGGCGGAAGCCUGAUGCAGCAACGCCGCGUGCUGGAUGACGGCCUUCGGGUUGUAAACCGCUUUCGCCUGUGACGAAGCGUGAGUGACGGUAAUGGGUAAAGAAGCACCGGCUAACUACGUG
rnacentral:rRNA from 1 species